UCAUUGUGGUUUUCUCUGUACCAUUUGUGACGCUGUUUGUCACCAGUCAGUGAAGGCCAGUAGGUGAAACUGGAGUUUUCUUUCCAAUUGUUGAAGACAUUUCAGCAAUCGUCCGUUGUCUGAUGCAACAGAACUUCAGGCGUUUACACAUUUUCACACACAAGGUUUCAUGUGACUGUGGGUGUUCCCGAUGGAGUGAUCCAGGGUGAAAAUGUUCCAACAUUGUAAAUUGCAGACUGCCAUAAUAACAGUUAGGGUCUGUCAAUCGAUAAAAAUUUCCAUAUGAUUAAAAACAGGGCCGUUUCUAGCUAUAAGCGGUAAUAGCAGCCACUUACGGCCCCAGAGCUACCCCACAAAGCAAGGUCGUUUAUUUAUUUAUUACAAUUUUGAUAAUAUAGUGUUUAAUAUACUAAAAGCUGCGAAUGUUUUGGCUCAAUUAGACAGUUGUAGGGAGCCUGAGAGGGAAAGGAGAACGCAACUGCAAGCAGACCGUUGUAGCUAUAUGACACGCUCAGAGGGUUUUUCAUCAUCAUGAAGCAAACCUACAAGUCGGAAAUGGAAAAAGGAAAAAGAACGAGGAGAAACGCAGCCAGACCACUGGUAAGAAAAACUGUCCAGGGGAGUGGACAGUUGGAUGACUGACACCUGGGUUGUCAACGGUCAGGGAUUUGUAGGUGUCACAAAGAUUUUCUAAAGAAGUUCAGGCUACAAAGAGGACUUAAUGUGACUGUUACACAUGAUUCCAGAUUGUUCUGGCACUUCAUAAACGCGUAUAAAUUCUCUGAAUGCACCAUGAGGACGUGAGAAUUGAGGACAGAGGAAACUUACCGAAGAUGCUUCAGCGAGGAAAUACAGGAGCUUCCUAUGCAGAAAAUGUUUUGGUCAAAACACCUGACACAUGACGUGUUCCUGUUUACAUGCACUGUAUAAUGACACUUUUCCACUGCACAUUACGGUUCGACUCGCCUCAACUCUACUCGCUUUACUUUUCUGAGCUUGCAUUUCCACUGCAGUUUAAUGUCCCUCCCUCAACAUGUAUGGGAUUAUAGGCUGAUCGUCUUAGUUGCGCUGCCUCUACUGCCGUGACAUCAUCUUAAACACGACACAAACUGACCAAAACAAUAACAUGACCGCUAGCUGUUAGCAAUUAGCUCAUUGUGCUGCAUAAAGCAGUUGUUGCAUGGUGAUUUUACACAAGUGUAACAGUUAAAUUGGCCUGCUUGUUUUAGAAGCAAGCUUCCAGUAGAUGGUCAACUAAAUAAAGUGAAGCUUUCAAGCAGAGUAUAGAGUUAACUUAACAAAAUGUACAUUUCCUCCGUAAUUCCCCCAAUGUAAAAGCAGAUAAUAGGGACAGUUGAUAUUUUAUAUUGGUGUGUAUAUACAUAGUUUAUAGUUUACAGUAUGUGAUUUUCUCACUGUACUCCCAUACAGUAAAUGUUGAAUUCUUUCCACUGUGUUGACAUUGUUGGGCUCCAUCCUAUGAUGUUUUUUAUAUCUGUUCCACACACAUACGCACUCUUCAAACACCCAUCAAAAUGCUGUUUAUGCAUGACCACAUUAAGCUGCAUUCUUCAAGAAUGCAAGAAACCUAGGUAUGUUAAAUUACUUUCUCUUAAUCCGCUAAUGCAUAAGGAAAUCAAUGUUCUUGUUAACAUGAUGUUUCAGAAUGCUACUUUCUGUU